AAAAAAAUCGGUGGCCGAACUUUUCGAUUUUCUAGGCCAUCAUGUGAAAAGUUAGUCCCCC
rnacentral:sRNA from 1 species